rnacentral:misc_RNA from 1 species
CCCUAUGUCGCUCCGAUUCGUCCCUCCCCCCCACGCCCAACGCACACACUCCCCCUUCUCCCCUUUUCCCGGCCCCGGCCCUGAGGUUUGAAACCACCCCCGCGACGCGCCGGCUAUGUCCCCCCGACCCUUCGAUGCCUCUGCUGGUCGGGAUCCCCCCCACCCCCCUGCCCAUGUCAUGUCGUCUUUUCCCCUACUUGGCAAAGGCAUGGAAACUUGGAAGCUUGACCAAAGACACGUGACGCAUGCCACGGGGCCUUUCAUGGUGCCCGCCCGCGAGCCAAGCCAAGACACGCGACGCGUGCCACGGUGCCUUGCUUGGUGCCCGCGAGCCAAGCCAAGGUGCCACGGAGCCUUGUAUGGUGCCCGCCCGCGAGCCAAGCCAAGGUGGCACGGGGCCUUGCUUGGUGCCCGCGAGCCAAGCCAAGGUGGCACGGGGCCUUGCAUGGUGCCCGCCCGCGAGCCAAGCCAAGGUGCCACGAGGCCUUGCUUGGUGCCCGCGAGCCAAGCCAAGGUGGCACGAGGCCUUGCAUGGUGCCCGCCCGCGAGCCAAGCCAAGGUGCCACGGGGCCUUGCAUGGUGCCCGCCCGCGAGCCAAGCCAAGGUGGCACGAGGCCUUGCAUGGUGCCCGCCCGCGAGCCAAGCCAAGGUGCCACGGGGCUUUGCUUGGUGCCCGCGAGCCAAGCCAAGGUGCCACGAGGCCUUGCCUUGUGCCCGCCCGUGAGCCAAGCCAAGACACGCGACGCGUGCCACAGGGCCUUGCUUGGUGCCCGCGAGCCAAGCCAAGGUGGCACGAGGCCUUGCAUGGUGCCCGCCCGUGAGCCAAGCCAAGACACGUGGCAUGGGGCCUUGCCUUGGUGCCCGCAAGCCGAGCCAAGACACGCGACGCGUGCCAUGUGGCCUUGCUUGGUGCCCACGAGCCGAGCCAAGACACAUGACGCGUGUCACCUCCCGUGCCACCACAGCUACAAGGACCCUCGAUAUGGUGCUAGAGGCUGUGCUAGGACACGUGACCCAUGCCAUGAUGCGUGCCACGACCCGAGGCACGACACGUCUUGCGUGCCACGACCCCCAUGCCAUGGUGCCAGGACACCUAUAAUGACCCAUUCCAUGGUGGUAGAGGCCGUGCCAAGACACAUGGUGCGUGCCCUAUCUGGAUUUCGACCCUGAUGCCUUGACAAGGUUCCGGAUUAUGGUCUAUUGCUAAUCACGGAAUGUUAUUAAUCCAUGGAUUCAUGUUGCAAAGGUUGUUCACUAUUUUUUUAUAUGGUUUUUUUAAGUAAAAAAAUUUUAAAAUAAAUUUUGUUUUGAGAAUCCUUGGAUUCUUUUUUAAGAUUUCUUUUUCCCAUAUCAAAUACAAUUUUUAAAAAUAUUUAAAUUAAUUUUUACUUAUUUUCCCCCCAUUUUUCUAAGUAAAAAAGCUAAAAAAAAAUAUUUUUUGGCCAAGAGAGCUUCACCAAUCCUUGAAUUCGUCUUCCAUAUAUUUUUCCCAUGUGAAAUACAUUUUUUUAAAAUAUUUACACUAUUUUUUCCUCAUUUUUACUAUUUUUUAAGUAAGAAAUUCGGAAAAAAAAAAUUAUUUUUCAGAGAUAAGUUGCAUUAAUUCAUGGAUUCCUAUUCCAGAUAUUUUUCCCAUGUGAAAUACAAUUUUUAAAAAUAUUUUCACUAUUUUUUGGUAUUUUUUACUAUUUUUACCUAUUUUUCCCUAUUUUUUGGACAAAAAAAUUAAAAUAAAUAUUUUCUGGGCCGAAAUUUUUUUUUUUUUUUUUCCUUGGGUUCAUAUAAUUAUUAUAAAGAGAUUCAGCAAAAAAAACGGAAUUAAAAACUCUUUUUUCAUUAAAAAAUGGCAUUAUGUCUCCUCAAGCAUGGGUGAUGUCUCCUCAAGGCAUUUCCAAAAUGGCCCAAAAUGCUCUUUAAGGGGGGGGUGCUGUCCUCAAUGGGCUGGCAGCACCACCCGCCCAGGCACGCUGCAGCGCGUGCCGCCCUUGGCGUGCAGGCCGCCCAUGCCACCCUAGGCAUGGCGCCCCCGCAUAUGCCACCCUCAAGCCCACGACACGCUAAUGCGAAGAGAGCACGCCCUCGACACCGUGGGGAGCCCUCGCACGCAACAGCAGUCACCCCGUGCCCCGUACACGCUGCACCCAGGACGCGUCCCAUGCCCCCCAUGCGGACACGCCCUCCCCCCCCCAUGCAACGAGUGCCCUCCCCGCGCACUCGGCCCCGUCUCGGCUCGACCCCUCGAGCGAGCAUGUUGCCUCGGAUAAACGUGCCAAUGGCCAACGUCGCGGCUCACCCCGGGGGGCUCACCCAUGCCUCCCGCCCGACGCUGCCCAUCAAAAGGCACACGGACGCCCCUCCCCCCAUGCAACGAGUGCCCUCCCCGGGUGUGCUCGGCCCCCCCUCUCGGCUCGUCGAGGAGCCCUCAAGCCCUCGAGCGAGCAUGUUGCCUCGGAAAAAACGUGCCAGUGGCCAACGUCGCGGCUCACCCCGGGGGGCUCACCCAUGCCUCCCGCCCGACGUUGCCCAUCGAAAGGGACACGGAUGCCCCUCCCCCCAUGCAACGAGUGCCCUCCCCGGGCACUCGGCCCCGUCCCGGCUCGUCGAGGAGCCCUCAAGCCCUCGAGCGAGCAUUUUGCCUCGGAAAGGAGCCAGAUGCAUCGUCGCCAUGCCUAUAUCGGUCCUACGAAGGCUUCACUCGUUGCUCCCGUGUGCUGGUCAGGAGUCGCCUCCGGAYGAGUCGCGGUUCGAUGCGUGAUGCYGUGUCGUAGUGAACCUGAUGGCGUGUGAGUGGUGUUUGGGUCGCGUGGGUCGGCAGGCUCCUUGCUCGUGCAACGAACUGUCGYCGCACCCCCCUCUUCAUUCUAAGCCUCAAGCGCUGCAACAAGCCUUGGGCGUCGCGAUGCCGUGGUUCCUGUGUUGCCUUCCUAACGGAUGGAAUUGUCCCUCGAACGUUGCCUAUCUCCGCCCGGCUCCCGCUCACGCGGUGCGGGCGGACCUCGAAAGCGGUCGCCGCGUCCCAUGGUCRCCCCACGCAUGCGCACGCAUGAGAGGGGUCGAGCAUGGCCCGCGACGGCCRCUCGUGCUCUCGGAUGCGGAACCUUAAAACGAGCGUGGGGUCUCUCGGGAUCCCGUACUCGCUCGAGCUAAGCGUUCGUCGCUAGACGYGUACGACGGCCGUCCCCGUCUUUGCCCUCCCGUCYCGCUCCCCUCGGGGGGCGUCGGUCAGGCGCAUGCGGUGCCGGCGUCGCACAGGAAUGC